AGCUCCAAUAGCGUAUAUUAAAGUUGUUGCAGUUAAAAAGCUCGUAGUCGUAUUUCUAGGAUGAGCAAUUUGUCCGGGUGUUUUGCAUCUGUGUACAUUUUUGUCUCGUCCUAUCCUUGUGGAGAGCUUGUUUGGCCUUAAUCGGUUGAGCAAGGGAUCUGCAUCAUUUACUGUGAAAAAAUUAGAGUGUUUAAAGCAGGCAUUUGCUGUGAAUACAUUAGCAUGGAAUAAUAAGAUAGGACUUUGGUACUAUUUUGUUGGUUUGCAUACCAAGGUAAUGAUGAAUAGGGACAGUUGGGGGUAUUCAUAUUUAGUUGUCAGAGGUGAAAUUCUUGGAUUUACGAAAGAUGAACUUAUGCGAAAGCAUUUACCAAGGAUGUUUUCAUUGAUCAAGAACGAA
rnacentral:rRNA from 1 species